GUUUUUGAACUUCAUGAUGAAC
rnacentral:piRNA from 1 species